UACGGAGGGUGCAAGCGUUAAUCGGAAUUACUGGGCGUAAAGCGCACGCAGGCGGUCUGUCAAGUCGGAUGUGAAAUCCCCGGGCUCAACCUGGGAACUGCAUUCGAAACUGGCAGGCUAGAGUCUUGUAGAGGGGGGGUAGAAUUCCAGGUGUAGCGGUGAAAUGCGUAGAGAUCUGGAGGAAUACCGGUGGCGAAGGCGGCCCCCUGGACAAAGACUGACGCUCAGGUGCGAAAGCGUGGGGAGCAAACAGG
rnacentral:rRNA from 1 species